rnacentral:lncRNA from 1 species
AUGAUAAGGUUAUUCCGUGUGCCUGAAGGGAAAUCUGAAUUAUUCAUCCUCAGUAGGUUGCUAACCUCGCCUAGAACUACCAUUCUCUUCGCGGCGCAUGGGACUGGGAGGACGUUUCCACUACAGGCCAUUUGUGUGAAUAUUUUCCUGAAACAAGAUGGGGAGGUGAUAAAAUAUAAAUGCUCCCUCGGUCCCUUGUUAUAUUUAUUAUUGAUGGCAGGACCAGCGUUGGUUUGCUUCCUCAGUCUUGGAAAGCCACAGGGAGACCUUGGUCAAGCUGCUCUCUCUCAACCUCAGAAGAAGACCUCCUUCUCCAAACAAAUCUUUCCAAGAAAACCCAAACAAAUUUGGGCACAAAAAUCUGGAAAUGUACAACUAUUAAAAUAAACAUAGUGUCCCUACUUCGCGGAUUUUCACUUAUUGCGGGUGGUCCUGGAACCAAACCCCAGAGAUAAGUGAGGGUUGAGAGAUUUCAUGGGAAAGUUGGGGAGGAAAUUCACGGGAGACAUCAUGCUUUCAUGGGUGUCUAUGAAACAGCAAGUUGUUAACAUUAAGGGCAGUUCAGGCAACACUGUGUUAGAGUGAGAAGCUAAACCUGAGUUCUCUUGUUCGUGGUUCAAGGCAAACCUAUCAGAAUGUAGAAUGACCCUCAAAUCAUUUCAAAUUUUAUAGUUUACACAUGAAGUCGCCUUACACAUGGGUAUAUACCAGGCAUGGGCAAACCAUGGGGUGUCUUUUCUGAAGCAGCUAUGCAUGGAAUAGUUUCAAUAGUGGCAUCAAUAGUUCGUGGCUUCUAUGGAUUGGAGUUUGGUGAGGCACCAGCCCUCUUUGCAAAGAAGGCUAAAGACCAUAUCAAACUACAACUCUCAGCAUUCUACAGCAUUGAGUUAUGGCAGUUAAAGUGGUUCAACACUGCAUUCAUUCUGUAGUGUAAAUGCACCCCAUGUUGCAAUGAAUCCAUCUCAAGUUUACUUCAUCUAUAGAUGCGCUCCAAAGUAUUGGAUCCAAUCCUCCAUAUUAUUUCUUGUCAGUCUCCUUUCCUCACCAACUGCUCAAAUAGUCAUGCUUGUCGCACCUCAGGUUAGCUUCACCUUGCUAAAGACACCAGGCUGCACACAGAAUGUCGUCUUUUGUAGUUUAUUAGGAAAUAGAGAAAAGGCAGUUCAUAAAAGUCAAAAGUUUAGUUCCAAAAGAUAGUUGCAAAGACAAGGCUGCAAGAAACAAAUCCAUAGAGACAAUAGACAUAAAGCAAAGUCCUUUCAAUAGACACCAAAGUCCCAGAAACAAAGAUACAUCCAAACCAUAAGAUAACACAGGAAAGCAGUCUUGGUUCUUGAUUCAAGCGAGGAAAUUGCUUUGACGAAGAUUUCCCUCUCAGCUGACUGCUUUAAUAGCAUAACAUGAAAGCAUUUCUUUGCCCUUUGACCUCCCUCUUAUUUGGUAUUCUAAGACUUUUGCGCAACUCCUGAAAUCCCAGAUGACUAACCCGAUCGAGAGAUGCGGCCUCAUCAUCAAGGCCACAGGCUUCGUUAGUAUUAUCAGACUGAGGCUGGGAGCUACUCUCCCUUUCUGCUUCUUGCACCUGAGAACCAUCCUCGUUAACAACAUCAUUUCUUCCCGUGGGAAAGCCUCCCUGCUCUUCAUUUUCCACAGCAGGAACACCCUGCACCUGAAUCCCAUAAUUCCCAUCCAGUCAUCUUGAAACUCAUCCUGAACCUGAAUCCCAUCAUCUUGAAACUGCAUCCCAGAAUCUUCAUCAGAAUCACACAGAGGCUGAGUCACAACAAUGCUCUUCAUUUUUAUUUUAUUAGAUAUUAUUUGAAAAAGUCAUUUUUUUUGUAUUUUCCAAAAUGCAUAAUGUCGUGGGUGAACUACAACUCACACCGUGCCAGGUUUACCCCUUGAAACUCCAUCAGUGGUUAAAGUUUGUCAUCUUGGGCAAGUUUGCUCUCUAGAUGCAUCAUCGGUGGGGUCCGUUGUUGUUGAUUGUUGAUUUAUUGUUGUAAACUUGUGUUUUUGUUGUUUUGUUUUUAUAUUGUGAUGUUUGGGCAAGGCCCCAUGUGAGUCGCCCCGAGUCCCUUCGGGGAGAUGGGGCGGGGUACAAGAAUAAAAUUAUUAUUAUUAUUAUUAUUAUUAUUAUUAUUAUUAUUAUCCGUGAGGUCUCUGGCUGUAGGUUGCACUACAACUCUCACAAUGGUGGGUUAAUCCUCCUCAAAGUCCUCCAGUAGGUUCAGUUAGUCAUGGGGAUUCUGUUGCCAAUUUGAUCCAGAUCCGUCACCAUUGGUGGUCACAAUGUCUCUGGGUUUAGGAGAACUACAACUCCCAGAAAUGAAGGUCAAUUCCCUUCAAAACCUACCAGUAUUCUAAUUUGGGCAUAUUGGGUAUGAGUGCUAAAUUUGGUCCAGAUCCAUAUCUCUGGAUGCGAGUGAACUACAACUCCCUGAAAUCAAGGUGAAUCCCCCCAAAGCCCUCUAGUACUUUUAGUUGGUCAUGGGGGUUCUGAUGCCAAAUGUGGUCCAGGUCCAUUGUUGGUGGGUGCCACAGUGCUGUGUCUUGAUGCAGGGUGAACUACAACUUCCAUCCUUUCCGAAAUGCAAGGAGCAAAACUUCUUCAGGAUGUCAAUCUUUCUCUGGCCUCGACGAGAAAUGCUCCAAAGUCUUCGGGAGGGGGGAAAAGCUUGUGAAAGCCUUCCCUUUUAGGCAGACGUUGUCAGCCGGCUGCGUUGUUUUUACGGUCGAGCAACAAUUGCCCGGGAGAUGCGUUUUGUGGGAAGAGGCUCUUCGACACUUCAAUCCGAUGGGGAACAAUUAUUUCCGAGGAAGCACGCUCGUUCGUGCCCGCUGCAUUUUUAAAAACGAGGGGGAGAAAAAUCGUUUUUCCACAACAUGCAUCUUCAACGCUCACACAACGUUGUGCGCCCUGCCAAACUGUACAAAUUUGCGAUUCGGGAACAAGUGGAAGGACAUGGUUCUUCACUUCCUUCCCUUUCCCUUGGUGCUGUUCUUGACAUUUGAGUAAAGAGGCUGCUAAAAGCAAGCGCAAACACAGAAGUAGUCCUAGGAAUUGUUUUUUCCCCUUUUAAAACAUCUUUUUUUGGAUAUUGGCAUAUGUAGCCAACCACUCAACUUGCUGUUAUGGAGUACCGCAUAUGCAAUGCUUACUCAUGUAUAAGUCGACCUCAGGGCCCUUAAACAAACAUUCGUAUGAAACCAAAAGUAUCCCAGCCAUUGAAAUAUUUAAAAGCAAGAGCUUAAAAAGACACGACUAACACUUAACAGAUUGAGAAAUAAAUUUGCUGAUAUACAUUGGCUAUCUAGUUAAAUACUGUGUAACCAGGCAUGGGCAAACUUUGGCCCUCCAGGUGUUUUGGACUUCAACUCCCACAAUUCCUAACAGCCUACCGGCUGUUAGGAAUUGUAGGAGUUGAAGUCCA